UGCAGUCGAGCGGGCGUAGCAGUACGUCAGCGGCAGACGGGUGAGUAACGCGUGGGAACGUACCUUUUGGUUCGGAACAACACAGGGAAACUUGUGCUAAUACCGGAUAAGCCCUUACGGGGAAAGAUUUAUCGCCGAAAGAUCGGCCCGCGUCUGAUUAGCUAGUUGGUAGGGUAAUGGCCUACCAAGGCGACGAUCAGUAGCUGGUCUGAGAGGAUGAUCAGCCACAUUGGGACUGAGACACGGCCCAAAUUUCUACGGGAGGCAGCAGUGGGGAAUAUUGGACAAUGGGGGCAACCCUGAUCCAGCCAUGCCGCGUGAGUGAUGAAGGCCCUAGGGUUGUAAAGCUCUUUUGUGCGGGAAGAUAAUGACGGUACCGCAAGAAUAAGCCCCGGCUAACUUCGUGCCAGCAGCCGCGGUAAUACGAAGGGGGCUAGCGUUGCUCGGAAUCACUGGGCGUAAAGGGUGCGUAGGCGGGUUUUUAAGUCAGGGGUGAAAUCCUGGAGCUCAACUCCAGAACUGCCUUUGAUACUGAAGAUCUUGAGUCCGGGAGAGGUGAGUGGAACUGCGAGUGUAGAGGUGAAAUUCGUAGAUAUUCGCAAGAACACCAGUGGCGAAGGCGGCUCACUGGCCCGGUACUGACGCUGAGG
rnacentral:rRNA from 1 species